AUACUAAAAUUUAUAGCACAUAUACUAAAAUUGGAACGAUACAGAGAAGAUUAGCAUGGCCCCUGCCCAAG
ensembl:snRNA U6 U6 spliceosomal RNA